UUCUGCUCUAAUCUUAAGUAUUUCCUUCCUCCUUCUGGAUUUGGGUUUAGUUUACUCUUCUCUGUCUAGUUUUUAAGGUGGAAAGUUAGAUUAUUGAUUUGAGAUAUAUGUUUUUAAUUUAUGCAUUUAUAGCUAUAAUUUUUCCUUUGAGCACUGGUUAGCUGCAUCCCAUACAUUUUAGCAUGUUGUGCUUUCAUUUUCAUUCAUCUCAAGAUUUUUUUAAUUUCCCCUGUGAUUUAUUCUUUGACCCAUUGGUUACUUAGGAUGUAUUGUUUAAUUUCCACGUUUGUGAAUUUCCCAAAUUUCCUUCUAUUAUUUAUCUAUAGUUCUGUUGUACUCAGACAACAUACUUUGUAUUAUUUCAGUCCCUUUAACUGUGCUGGAGUUUACUUUAUGAUGUGCCAUGUGGUCAACCCUAGAGACGUGUCAUGAGAAGAAUGUGCAUUAUGAUGUGCCAUGUGGUCAACCCUAGAGACGUGUCAUGAGAGGAACGUGCAUUUUCCUGUUUGGGGAGAGAGUUCUGUAGGUGUCAGUUAGAUCCAGUUUGAAAGCGUUGUUCAAGUCUUCUGUUUCCUCGUUGAUCUUCUGCCUAUUUGUCCUAUUGGAAGUGGGGUAUUGACUUUGUCAACAAUUGUUGAAUUGUCUAUUUCUCCCUUCAAUUCUGUCAGUUCAUUUCAUGCAUUUUGGGGCUUCACUGUUAAGAGCAUAUAGGUUUAUAAUUGUUAUAUCUGCCUUAUGAAUUGACCUGUUUAUUAUUACAAAAUGUCCCUCUUUAUCUCCAGUAACAUUUCUGUUUUAAAGUCUUUUUUUCGUGAUGUGAAUAUAGUGUCUCUGUCUCUCUCAUGGCUGCUGUUUGCAUGGUGUAUCUUUUCCCAUUCUUUAGCUUUCAAUCCAUUUGUAUUUUUUGAAUCUGCACUGGGUCUCUGUAGACAGUAUAUCUAUGAGACCCAGUGUACAGAAAACAUAUAUAUAUGUUUUCCUUUAUCCAAUCUAACAAUCUCUGUCUCUUAAUUGAAAUGUUCAGUUGAUUCCCAUUUAGUGUUAUUAUUGGUAUAAUUGGACUUAUGUCUGCACUGUGCUUUUCAUUUUCUACAUCUUUUUUGUUGCUCUGUUUCUCCUUUACUGCCUUUUUUCGUAUUGAUGGAUAUUUCCUAGUAUAACAGUUUUAUUCCUUUAAUGACUUUAUUUUACUGUUUUUUAAGUUGUUUUCUUAGUGGUUGUUCUAGGGCUUACCAUAUACACCUUAACACCAAAAUCUGCUUCAGAUUUGUACUCAGCUGCCACCAGUGGAGCACGGAAGCGUGACCCCGUGUACUCUGUCCAGAGACUUCUCUUUGUGCUGUUGUUAUACAUACUGCCUCUAUCUAUGUCACACACCCAACAGAACGUUGUUGUAACUGUUGUUUCGUACAAUCUUAACCUCUUCAAGAGGCUGAGGGAAGGAAGGAGAGCGAGCGUGUAUUGGUACGGUUCGCUCUAUGAAACUCCUUAUUUACCGUUUGAUUCUGCGUGUCCCCCUGUGGUUGCUGGUGACCAUCUCUGUCCUUCCCUUUCUCCAAUACGGCUUCGUCCUGCUCGCCUCCUAUGUGCAGCUAUUUUCAAAUAUAUUACGUCUCUAUAUGUUAUAAUCUAAAUAAUGCAAUUCUAUCCAUGUUAUUUUAUGCAGUUAUGUUUUCAAUCAGUUAAGAGAGGAAAGGGGUAGAAACGUGCUCUUACCCCAUCUUCAUAAUUACCUGCGUCGUAGCUUUACCACUCUCCUUGUCCCAUCGUGUGGACUUGAGUGACUGUCUGGUGUCGCUUGCCUUCAUCCUGCGGAACUUCCUAGUCUGUCUUGUAAGGAGACUCUGCAACAGAUCCUCUUGGGUUUAUCUGGAAUGUCUUCAUUUCCCUCCUGUCUUUGAAAGAUACUUUUGCUGGACGUAAGAUUCUCGAUCCGUGGCUUCUACUUUUGGCGUGUUGAGUUGCUUCCGGUAGCUCAGGUGUUGAUGCCACUGGGCUGCACUGGACGGGGCUGCGCGAGGAAAAUCCGGGAAGGUUUAGAGCCUGCCCCUCAUCCUGCUCUGAGAGCUCCUGAGCGGUGCAGCCUGGUGUUCGGGACGACCUUCCCACCCCAGGGCGGCCGUGAUCCGAGAAGGCCCACCUGGGCCGGCUCUUCCCCUGGUUCUCUCUGUUAAACUUCGGGCUGGGCUGCUGUUGACUUGUCACCUCUAGUACCUUCGAGCUAUCGGCACCUUCUCACGUGCUCCCUACCAAGGUCUCCAUUGGUUCAGACACCUUUGAGCAUGAAAAUCUCCACAAUUUGUUCCAAAUAACAUUGGUCCCCUUGGGCAGAGCCGUGGAGCUUCAUCAUUACAGUUGCCUCUCCCUGGCAGGACUCCUAGGCGCCUGCCCAGCAGCUGGCACAGGGCAGGGCCUGCUUCUCCUGAGUGGUCCCCGUGCCGUGAGCGCACUCUGAGGGUGUGGGCGGUAGCAGCCCCUGGUCCUUUCUGCUUGUCCUCUGGCACGGAACCUCUGCUCUACAAACGCCCUGGGGUAGGAGAUCGAGGGCCCCAGUGUUCUUCGUCAGCCACACCUGGGGGGAUGUCCACCCUAUCAGCAGGGGUGUGGGGGAGGAGACUGGCCCUCCUCCUGUGCCCACCAGGAAUAGAAUUUCUGCACCCGAGGCUGGGAGAGGAGAAACACAGCUGGCCUGGCCCCCACCCCAAGCUGCGGUGGGGGACUCCAUCUCUUGACCUCGUCUGUGCAGGGUGGAGUCCUGAUCAGCUUCCCUGAGAUGGACUCGCGGGGGGGCGGGUCAUGGCUCAAACAUCACGGACUCACUGUUCCUCCUGAGAUUUCAUUGACUCCCUGAGUGGAUGUGUCUCCGUGGCUGUGUGACCUCAGGAUGAUUCCAGAGACUCUGAACGAUUCCUGACGUAGUUGUGUCUGUUAAACGGUUGUUUUGGGAGUGACGCCCCUGUGCUCCAGCCCUUGCCUUUGGAAGCCCCCGGCAGGGCGCGUGCUGUGGGGGCUGCUGUCUGCGGUCCGUCUCAGUGGAUGUGCUCCUGCGUCGCCUUUCCGACAACCAGCGGCCGGGACUUCCGGAUGGUGCUUGGCGUUGUCGUCUAGGAGUCAGAACUGAGCAGAGUUUUCGUAGUUCGUGGUCACUGGCUGCUUGGUCUCUGCGGGAGCCCCGAGCGCUUUGCGAGGAGUCACAGCUUGUCUCCACCGCAGGCUCGGGAGACACACGUUCCUACCCCACUCGGUGGCCGAAGCCUGGAGCCGUCGACCAGCUGCCCAGAUCUCUGGGAGUGGGAGGCGGGGCUGCCUGGGCUCUGCAUGACCGCUGAUGGCCCCACUCCAGCCUGGCAGGUGGCCUCCCAGCCGGGAGGGAGCAAGGAAGCCAGCGGCAGGAGCCGAGUGCAGUCUUGGGAUCUGCCCAGCACCCUGAGUUCCGGGCGCUGCUCUUGGCAGUGGAGCAGAUCCCAGGGGCCCCUGAGACCCACGGUCCAAGAGACUGCUCUCAGAGUCAGAUGGUGCAGGCCAGGCAGAGGCGCCGGUGCAGGAGGAAAGCGAGGCGGGUCGGGAGACGGUACAACGUGGGGACGGUGGAUGCGGGACGGGAGGCCCCUCUGAGGACGCGCCGUGGGGCAGGUCUGAGGCUCGGGGAUCUCGGUUCAGGGACUGGCCCAGCAUUCGGGGGAGCCCCCUUCCCAUGGGGCCUUUCAUGGAGCAGCAGGUCCCUGAGGCCGGACGGUGCCUGCAGGAGCAGGCUGAGAGCUGGUCACACCAAGACUGCCCAUGCGCCCUGACCCGCCCCUGCCUUCUGGAGCCUGUUUCCUAAUCUGGAAGCUGGAGGAACAUUCACCACCCUGUGCUCAAAUUCCCUAAGGAAUGAACUGUGGUCUCUGUGUGUCAGUGCCAAAUUCUGAGAAAGACGCUCUGACCGUCCCCACCUGGACUGGUUGUCCAGCCUGCGUCCAUCAACUGCAGCCGGAAGACAAGCCUGUGUGGAACGAGCGGGAGCCUCGCUCAGCCCUGCAGCCACAGCCGGGCGCGAGCAGCUCUCGGAGGAGGCGCCGGCUGCACGGUGGCUGCAGUAGCCAGUCCUGGGUGAAUUCAUGCCCUCCCUCCCGCCGGCCCACCCUCAUCCCCCAAACAAACAUGAAAGUUAAAUGCCACCAAGACCUGUGCCACCAGACAAUACGUGGACGUAGAGAGAUCAUGGUUAACUAUCGUGUUCUCAGUGUGGCUGUGCUUUUCAGGUUACGGAAUUUCUUUAAUUUGCACCUUUAAGUUUAAUAUUUAGGACUUAAUAAAUAAGUUAUCCAUACAGGGAAAAAAAUUCCAGAAACACCAUGUGCUCCUGUGCGUUUCUGGACGUGACGUGAAACAUGCCCACCGGGCAUCUUGCCAGGUAAGAAAGAGUCGUGCAUGUCCCCCUGCAAGUCCCUGACAUUUCCAUCUUUAAGAAAACAACAGUCUAAGUCACCUGGAAAAUCUCCCCUUGGUCAUUAAAGAGGAUCAUUGUCUUAGCUUCUCUCUAAUGCAGCAUAUUCACUAAAGAGAAAAACUAAAUAUUGACAGAAAACGGGCUGGAGAUUGGCAACAAUUUGUUCCAUCAGAAGGUGAAAAGCUGCUUUCUGUCCGCUUCCCGCUGGUCGUUUCUCUCACCUGGGUGAAGUCCAAAGCAACAGAAGAUGCAGGAUCCUUCCUUACAACCACAAUGCUGACUGAGCGUUCCCAAGUCACUUCCAUCAGCAACGGGCGGUCGGCACUCGUCUCCCUCCGGCCCGUGGAGACCGACCCUUGCAUUUGUGAACAGCUGGUGGAAGCCCGUCCCCACAGAGUCACAGGCACCGUGUUCUGAGCACUGCCUUUUGCAGGAGGGGCAUCAUCUCCUUCAAUCCUCGUGGAGACAGUGGCCGCCCCAGAUACCGCUGCAAUCGCUGGCCGGGUCAUCGGCCUCAUUUUUACACCAGAGGAAAUGCAGCUGAGCAGGACGAGUCUUGUUACCUCCUUCUCCCCAGCAGUCGGCACCUAUCUGUGGAUCAAUAAAUGUUGAAUUAAGAUGAAGACAAUUGAGCUCUCUCAACCAGAUAUUUCAGGAGUCCCAAGCAGAUCUAAGACCAGUAAAUAGGAGGAGGGAUAAACUCCCACUGAACUGACCUGAAGCGCCGAUUCAGCCAGGCGGGUCGGAACUGAGUUCAUCUUCUCUCAACUGUGGCUUUUUGUGUGGUGAGUAACUGUCUUAGGAAAGACCAAGGGACCCGAGAUUCAGCGAUGCCGUCAACCCCACAGGCGAGGGAGAGCAGGGAUUUCCAGUGACCAUCCUCACCUGCCGACAUCCUCACCGUCUGUCCCCCGGGAUGGCUUGAAUGCAGCCAUUGGAUGGGUUAACACAAGCCCACGGCUCAGUCACAUCCUCUCCUCUGCUAAUAAUGUGCUCCCAGACGGCUGCUCCUUGGCUCCACGCAGCCGAGGAGCUCCACUGGCGGGUGGGUCCCCUCCACACCGCCUCCCACCCGUCGCGAAGGAUGCUCUCUUCAGAUUAACCCGUCUCCACGUCAGCCCUGGUGUCUGGCACGGAGCUGGGCUCAGGAAACGUGUCGGAUAAGUGAACGAAUGGAUUGAAUGGACAAAUGUUGACAGAACACUCCUUCGUACCUGCUGUUUAGUCCUACACGAAACACAGAAGGCAAAUAAAUCACAGUCUUUCCACGAAGUACUUAGAAUUUGGAAGGGGACAAACACACGCCCAGCCAUCAGCCUUGUUGACACCGUUAGCACCACCAGUCUGACAGAUCUAACAUGACGCCACCUGUGUGGCCCUGCCUCUGUCUACACAGAUGCAAAGGGUCGUGGUGAAGCUGGAGUCAAGUGAAUCCCACGUGCAAAUGCUAACACACUCCGAGAACUGGGAGAUUAAACAUCUGUGGACACAGGACACCUCACCAGGUGGCGUUGGCUUAACAGAAAUGAAGGUGGCGUUCCUUUCUCAUUUCUGACAGGUCUGGUCCCGAUUCUCAAAGUAUAUGGAUUUCGAACAGCCUGAGCCGUGGUGCCCCUUCCAUCCCUCAGGCGGUUGAACGGCCAUGUGCAGGUCCCCAGUGGAAACAGGCGCUCUCCACCACACUGGGACAGGGCGGCAGGGGGACUGGAGACAGCGAGCAACAAGGCACUGGAUCCUCACAGAGAAAUAGAGGAUCUGAACACAGGUUUUCAGGAGUAAAGGGCCUGUGAUUCCCUUGCAGAAAUGAGCUGGUUUUCAGCAGGGACUGGAAGACCAUCAGUGUUGCUGCUCCCGUCACUGCUGUGGCCGUCCUGUCAUCUGCACGUCGGUGAUGCCGGCACUUCCUGAAAAUGCUACUGGAGUCGGUGGGAUGGUUCACAACCACAGGAUGCCCUCCUUCCAAGGACUCACCUACCUCCACCGCCUCCCACGUCACCUUUGACUUAGACCUGCUCCCUGGCACCUGCACCAAAACCAGCCCCACAGAGGUCCAGGCGCCCGAAGUUCCCCUCAGUGACACGAACAACUGAAAGUGAAAACUCUGAGGUAACACUGUUUGCUGAGAGAGAAGUCGCCUCUCUGGUCCUUGUUUCCAUUUGUCAGUGGGAUGGCAAUACAGUUGUUCUAAAUUCCCAGGGGUCGCCCAAGAAAUAAAAACAUUGUUUGGGCUGCAGGAUCAGGGCCUGAGGGUGCGGGUCUUUUAUCCACAGACGUUAGAUAAUGAGGCUUUGAAAGGAAGCCCUGAUUGAUUGUCUGAACUAGCAAGAAUCUUCUCGUCAGAGCAAAAGAAAUGAAAUGAGUAAGUGGAUUUGGUCUUGGGAAAAAUAAGCAUCUUUCUCACUAACACGUGUGUAAGGAAGUACUCAAUAGACGUUUGACAGAAGAAUGAACGACCACUAAGUCAGCUCAGCACAGAUUUAGAAUUUUCAAACCAGUUGGGACUUUAUUCAAGUUUGUCAGCUUUCCACAAAGGAGCAAAGGCGCAAGCAAUGAAGGCCGUGGAGGAUCUUGGCCAAAUAUUUCACGAUUCUUUCAUUCAUCAGUUUUGACCAGGAUUUUAUCACACAUUUAACUUUGCAUAUUUUUUCCUUUAUCAGUUUCCCAGAUUGAGUCUUAUAAAUAUUUAAUUUCUGUUUUAAAAAAUUUGGUUGUGUAUAGACCACUAUGUACUGGGGCUUUGGGGAGGGAAAAGGGAGAGAAAAAAAAGGAGGAAUAUUGGCAACAGAUGAUAACUUAGGGCAAAUCUUCCCUGGCAAAAAAACAAAAACAUUGGUUGUAUUUUAUAUAUAAAAUUUAAUCAAUUAGGCAUUCUUGUAACUUAAAUUUUCUCACUAAGAAGACUAAUAUAUUUUGAAUAUGCCUUUGGUGCAAUAUUUUGGCUAUACCUAACAAAAAAUGCUCUACUUCACA
ensembl:lncRNA